UAAGGUAAUGGCUUACCAAGGCUAUGACGCUUAACUGGUCUGAGAGGAUGAUCAGUCACACUGGAACUGAGACACGGUCCAGACUCCUACGGGAGGCAGCAGUAGGGAAUAUUGCGCAAUGGGGGAAACCCUGACGCAGCAACGCCGCGUGGAGGAUGACACUUUUCGGAGCGUAAACUCCUUUUCUUAGGGAAGAAUUCUGACGGUACCUAAGGAAUAAGCACCGGCUAACUCCGUGCCAGCAGCCGCGGUAAUACGGAGGGUGCAAGCGUUACUCGGAAUCACUGGGCGUAAAGGGCGCGUAGGCGGAUUAUCAAGUCUCUUGUGAAAUCUAAUGGCUUAACCAUUAAACUGCUUGGGAAACUGAUAGUCUAGAGUGAGGGAGAGGCAGAUGGAAUUGGUGGUGUAGGGGUAAAAUCCGUAGAUAUCACCAAGAAUACCCAUUGCGAAGGCGAUCUGCUGGAACUCAACUGACGCUAAGGCGCGAAAGCGUGGGGAGCAAACAGGAUUAGAUACCCUGGUAGUCCACGCCCUAAACGAUGUACACUAGUUGUUGGGGUGCUAGUCAUCUCAGUAAUGCAGCUAACGCAUUAAGUGUACCGCCUGGGGAGUACGGUCGCAAGAUUAAAACUCAAAGGAAUAGACGGGGACCCGCACAAGCGGUGGAGCAUGUGGUUUAAUUCGAAGAUACGCGAAGAACCUUACCUGGGCUUGAUAUCCUAAGAACCUUAUAGAGAUAUGAGGGUGCUAGCUUGCUAGAACUUAGAGACAGGUGCUGCACGGCUGUCGUCAGCUCGUGUCGUGAGAUGUUGGGUUAAGUCCCGCAACGAGCGCAACCCACGUAUUUAGUUGCUAACGGUUCGGCCGAGCACUCUAAAUAGACUGCCUUCGUAAGGAGGAGGAAGGUGUGGACGACGUCAAGUCAUCAUGGCCCUUAUGCCCAGGGCGACACACGUGCUACAAUGGCAUAUACAAUGAGACGCAAUACCGCGAGGUGGAGCAAAUCUAUAAAAUAUGUCCCAGUUCGGAUUGUUCUCUGCAACUCGAGAGCAUGAAGCCGGAAUCGCUAGUAAUCGUAGAUCAGCCAUGCUACGGUGAAUACGUUCCCGGGUCUUGUACUCACCGCCCGUCACACCAUGGGAGUUGAUUUCACUCGAAGCCGGAAUACUAAACUAGUUACCGUCCACAGUGGAAUCAGCGACUGGGGUGAAGUCGUAACAAGGUAACCGUAGGAGAACCUGCGGUUGGAUCACCUCCUUUCUA
rnacentral:rRNA from 1 species